rnacentral:snRNA from 1 species
GGAAGCCUGUGAAGGUAAUCUGGCUGUGACACCAACCCCACUGACGGCCAGGAUUGAUUAGAUUGAUCUGGCUGGCUAGACAGAUGUCCCCUUCCCUGCUCAAUGCUCCAUGUGCGUCACCCCAGAAGCUGCACGCUUGGUAGAAGAGGAUGCCCUUCCCCAUUAGAGGAGGAAGACCGGUAGCUGUACUCCCAUGCUAGAACCUCCAAACAAGCACUCAAGGAGGUCUGCAUCCUACUUAAAAAAACAAACAAACAAACAGCUGAAGGUUACUAAAACCUAUAACAAUAUGU